UACGAAGGGUGCAAGCGUUACUCGGAAUUACUGGGCGUAAAGCGUGCGUAGGCGGUUUGUUAAGUCUGCUGUGAAAUCCCCGGGCUCAACCUGGGAAUGGCAGUGGAUACUGGCAAGCUAGAGUGUGUCAGAGGAUGGUGGAAUUCCCGGUGUAGCGGUGAAAUGCGUAGAGAUCGGGAGGAACAUCAGUGGCGAAGGCGGCCAUCUGGGACAACACUGACGCUGAGGCACGAAAGCGUGGGGAGCAAACAGG
rnacentral:rRNA from 1 species